AGAGUUUGAUCCUGGCUCAGAUUGAACGCUGGCGGCAUGCCUUACACAUGCAAGUCGAACGGCAGCAUGAUCUAGCUUGCUAGAUUGAUGGCGAGUGGCGAACGGGUGAGUAAUACAUCGGAACGUGCCCUGUAGUGGGGGAUAACUAGUCGAAAGAUUAGCUAAUACCGCAUACGACCUGAGGGUGAAAGUGGGGGACCGCAAGGCCUCAUGCUAUAGGAGCGGCCGAUGUCUGAUUAGCUAGUUGGUGAGGUAAAGGCUCACCAAGGCGACGAUCAGUAGCUGGUCUGAGAGGACGAUCAGCCACACUGGGACUGAGACACGGCCCAGACUCCUACGGGAGGCAGCAGUGGGGAAUUUUGGACAAUGGGCGAAAGCCUGAUCCAGCAAUGCCGCGUGUGUGAAGAAGGCCUUCGGGUUGUAAAGCACUUUUGUCCGGAAAGAAAUGGCUCUGGUUAAUACCUGGGGUCGAUGACGGUACCGGAAGAAUAAGGACCGGCUAACUACGUGCCAGCAGCCGCGGUAAUACGUAGGGUCCAAGCGUUAAUCGGAAUUACUGGGCGUAAAGCGUGCGCAGGCGGUUGUGCAAGACCGAUGUGAAAUCCCCGAGCUUAACUUGGGAAUUGCAUUGGUGACUGCACGGCUAGAGUGUGUCAGAGGGGGGUAGAAUUCCACGUGUAGCAGUGAAAUGCGUAGAGAUGUGGAGGAAUACCGAUGGCGAAGGCAGCCCCCUGGGAUAACACUGACGCUCAUGCACGAAAGCGUGGGGAGCAAACAGGAUUAGAUACCCUGGUAGUCCACGCCCUAAACGAUGUCAACUAGUUGUUGGGGAUUCAUUUCCUUAGUAACGUAGCUAACGCGUGAAGUUGACCGCCUGGGGAGUACGGUCG
rnacentral:rRNA from 1 species